UUCCCAUGCCGGGAAUUGAACCCGGGCCCUGCUGGGUGAAAGCCAGCUAUCCUAGCCGGCUUUCACCCAGUA